UUGUGGUUCUUUAGCGCAGUGAUUUUCGGUUCGGUGAGCAUUCUCCAAGGCACUGCAGGAAACGCUACCGCCCCCCACCCCACCCCACCCCACCCCACCCCACCCAUGACGAGCUACAAGUAAUUUUGCUAAUGAAACAAGAAAGCAUCUCAACCCCACCCCUUACCAAAACCAACUUAAGGGAAGCUGCUUCACCUCACAUGAAAGGACAUGCUGUGGUGCCCAACGCGCAUGCCUCCUGAGUAAACGCAGGCGCCAACAACUCUGAGAGGGAGGAAAAUCCUAUCAGCCGCCGCCAUAUUGCCAACCUCUCGGCGAACACGAUGCUGGCGUCUUGGUUGCUCAGAAGACGCGGGGUGAGGAGGGCUUGCCGGGCCAAGUUGUAUCAUGUGCCUGUGUCUCUUGUGUGUGCUGAAGAAUUUUAAAAUGUGGAAGUUUGUAAAAAGAAGUUGUGCCAGUAACACUGAAGGAGAAUCUGCAGGCACAAAAUGAGCCAAGUACUUCUGGAGCCGGGGUCUCUGACAGUAAAAAAGUGUGACUUUAUGAUGACAAAUAUUUGGCAUUUUGUUUCACAUGGUGUGGUGAUCCUGAUUGCCCUGUACCAUUGUGUGCUAUCUGUGGAAAAAAGCUCGUUAACACAGCGAUGACCCCAUCAAAAUUAAAACGGUAUAGCCAGUUACUGCACAAAACAACUGAUUAUUUCAAACAUCUUCUUAAGUCACAAGCACAAGAAGGCAAAGUUUUUGAAAAGAAGGUAACUGUCAGUGAGAAGGCACAAGAGGCAAGUUAUUUAGUAGCAGAGCUAGUUGCCCAAAAGAAGGAAAACCAUGUUAUUGCUGAAAGCAUUAUAAUGCCUGCAUGUACAAUUAUUGUAAACACUAUGUUAGGCAAAGAAGCAUUGUUUGAAGUACAGAAGGUACCCCUAUCUGACAAUACCAUUAGUAGACAUAUACAUGACAUGUCAGAGGAUGUUGAAAAUAAUGUAUCUAAAAUGUUGAAAAGCACAAAUUUCUCUCUUCAGGUAGAUGAAUUGACUGACAUAAAUAAAUACCAUAUUAUCA